GAUGAACGCUAGCGGAAGGCUUAAUACAUGCAAGUCGAGCGGUAGGUGGCUUCGGCCAUUGAGAGCGGCGCACGGGUGAGUAACGCGUACAUGACCUGCCUGUCAGAAGGGAUAGCCCUGGGAAACUGGGAUUAAUACCCUAUGGUAUUGAUAUUAUGAAUGAUAUCAAUUAAAGUUGAGGCGCUGACAGAUGGAUGUGCGUCUGAUUAGCUAGUUGGUAGGGUAACGGCCUACCAAGGCGACGAUCAGUAGGGGGCGUGAGAGCGUGGUCCCCCACACGGGUACUGAGACACGGACCCGACUCCUACGGGAGGCAGCAGUAAGGAAUAUUGGUCAAUGCCCGCAAGGGUGAACCAGCCAUUCCGCGUGGAGGAUGAAGGCCCUAUGGGUUGUAAACUUCUUUUAGAUGGGAAGAAAAUGCUAGAUGUAUCUGGUACUGACGGUACCAUCAGAAUAAGCACCGGCUAACUCCGUG
rnacentral:rRNA from 1 species